rnacentral:rRNA from 1 species
AACGAACGCUGGCGGCAUGCCUAACACAUGCAAGUCGAACGAGACCUUCGGGUCUAGUGGCGCAUGGGUGUGUCACGCGUGGGAACCUGCCCUUAGGUUCGGAAUAACUCUCCGACAGGGGUGCUAAUACCGGAUAAUGUCUUCGGACCAAAGAUUUAUCGCCUUUGGAUGGGCCCGCGUUGGAUUAGCUAGUUGGUAGGGUAAAAGCCUACUAAGGCGUCGAUCCAUAGCUGGUCAGAGAGGAUGAUCAGCCACACUGGGACUGAGACACGGCCCAGACUCCUACGGGAGGCAGCAGUGGGUAAUAUUGGACAAUGGGCGGAAGCCUGAUCCAGCAAUGCCGCGUGAGUGAUGAAAUCCUUAGGGUUGUAAAGCGCUUUUACCCGUGAUGAUAAUGACAGUACCGGGAGAAUAAGCUCCGGCUAACUCCGUG